GUGCUUUCUUCAGCAGCACAUAUACUAAAACGAACGAUACAGAGAAGGUUAGCAUGGCCCCUGUGCAAGGAUGACAUGCAAAUACGUGAAGUGUUCCAUAGUUUU